GCCUUGAUGGUCUAGUGGUUAGGACAUUGUGUUGUGGCCACAAUAACCCGGGUUUCGAAUCCCGGUCAGGGCA